rnacentral:lncRNA from 1 species
AUGGUCCUGGUCAAACCUCACCUUGUGUGAAUAGUUGUGUAUGGGUACGGUCAAACCUCAACCUUGUGUGAAUAGUUGUGUAUGGUCCUGGUCAACCUCAACCUUGUGUGAAUAGUUGUGUAUGGUCACUGGUCAACCUCACCUUGUGUGAAUAGUUUGUGUAUGGUCUGUCAACCUCACCUUGUGUGAAUAGUUGUGUAGGUACUGGUCAACCUCACCUUGUGUGAAUAGUUGUGUAUGGUACUGGUCAACCUCACCUUGUGUGAAUAGUUGUGUAUGGUCCUGGUCAACCUCACCUUGUGUGAAUAGUUGUGUAGGGUACUGGUCACCCUCACCUUGUGUGAAUAGUUUGUGUAUGUACUGGUCAACCUCACCUUGUGUGAAUAGUGUGUAUGGUACUGGUCAACCUCACCUUUGUGUGGAAUAGUUGUGUAUGGUAUGGUCAACCUCACCUUGUGUGAAUAGUUGUGUAUGGGUACUGGUCACCUCACCUUGUGUGAAUAGUUGUGUAUGGUACUGGUCAACCUCACUUGUGUGAAUAGUUUGUGUAUGGUACUGGGUCAACCUACACCUUUGUUGAAUAGUUGUUGUAUGGUACUGGUCAACCAUCACCUUGUGUGAAUAGUUGUGUAUGGUACUGGUCAAACCUCACCUUGGUGUGAAUAGUUGUGUAUGGUACGGUCAACCUCACCUUGUUGAAUAGUUUGUAUGGUAACUGGGUCAACCUCAACCUUGUGUGAAUAGUUGUGUAUGGUACGGUCAACCUCACCUUUGUGAAUAGUUGUGUAUGGUACUGGUCAACCUCACCUGGUGGUGAAUAGUUGUGUAUGGGUACUGGUCAACCUCACCUUGUGUGAAUAGUUGGUAUGGUACUGGUCAACCUCACCUUGUGUGAAUAGUUGUGUAGGGUACUGGUUAACCUUCACCUCUUGUGUGAAUAGUUGUGUAUGGUACUGGUAACCUCACCGUGUGUGUGAAUAGUUUUGUGGUAGUAUGGUACUGGUCAACCUCACUGUGUUGUGAGACAGUUUGGGGUAUGGGUACUGGUCAACCUCACCUUGUGUGAUAAUUUGUGUAUGGUCCUUGGGUCACCUCCACCUUGUGAAAGUUGUGUAUGUCCUGGUCAACCUCACCCUGUGUGAAUAGUUGUGUAUGGUACUGGUCAACCUCACCCAUGUGUGUAAUAGUUGUUGUAUGUAUGGUACGGGUCAACCUCACCUGUUGAAUA